GGAAAGGGCAGAUCUGCCAAAGUGUGGGUAAGUGGACCUUGGUGUAAGCAAGUUAGGUAGCAAGUGUUGUUGCUGUGUUUGUUCCUGCAAGUGGCUGUGUGUUUAUGCUGAAGGCAGGGGUGGAGUGGUGAGGGAAAUGGCACCUGCCAGCUCCUUUGUUCCUGGAGGGGUCUUCCUGCUCUUCCUGCCUCUCAGGGAGUGCUCUGAGGACAGGUAUGACCUGGGGGAGACCAAUUAUGUAUUGCAUGCAGCUGGGUGUUUGAUGGCUAUCUCCUCCACCGAAAGGAAGCUUACCUUACCAAGGUAAGGAAGGCUGUGCAGUCCAAGUAUCUACAAGCCUGAGAGUUCCCACCCGAGCAGGACCCCAGCCGGCCUCUAGAGAG
rnacentral:lncRNA from 1 species